rnacentral:rRNA from 1 species
AGUGAACGCUGGCGGCAGGCCUAACACAUGCAAGUCGAACGGCAGCGGGUCCUUCGGGAUGCCGGCGAGUGGCGGACGGGUGAGGAAUACAUGGGAAUCUGCCCAGUCGUGGGGGAUAACGUAGGGAAACUUACGCUAAUACCGCAUGCGACCUUAGGGUGAAAGCGGCGGACCGCAAGGCGUCGCGCGAUUGGAUGGGCCCAUGUCGGAUUAGCUAGUUGGCGGGGUAAAGGCCCACCAAGGCGACGAUCCGUAGCUGGUCUGAAGGGAUGAUCAGCCACACUGGAACUGAGACACGGUCCAGACUCCUACGGGAGGCAGCAGUGGGGAAUAUUGGACAAUGGGCGCAAGCCUGAUCCAGCCAUGCCGCGUGAGUGAAGAAGGCUUUCGGGUUGUAAAGCUCUUUUGUCCGGAAAGAAAAGCUCUCGGUUAAUACCCGGGGGUUCUGACGGUACCGGAAGAAUAAGCACCGGCUAACUUCGUGCCAGCCGCCGCGGUAAAAC